rnacentral:rRNA from 1 species
GACGGGGGGUCCUAGCGUUGUUCGGAAUUACUGGGCGUAAAGGGCGCGUAGGCGGCCUUCUAAGUCGAACGUGAAAUCCCCGGGCUCAACCCGGGAACUGCGUCCGAUACUGGAAGGCUUGAAUCCGGGAGAGGGAUGCGGAAUUCCAGGUGUAGCGGUGAAAUGCGUAGAUAUCUGGAGGAACACCGGUGGCGAAGGCGGCAUCCUGGACCGGUAUUGACGCUGAGGCGCGAAAGCCAGGGGAGCAAACGGG